UACGUAGGGGGCAAGCGUUGUCCGGAAUCAUUGGGCGUAAAGAGCGUGUAGGCGGCCAGAAAAGUCCGCUGUGAAAUCUCGAGGCUCAACUUCGAGCUGUCGGUGGAAACUUUCUGGCUAGAGUCCGGAAGAGGAGAAUGGAAUUCCUGGUGUAGCGGUGAAAUGCGCAGAUAUCAGGAAGAACACCAGUGGCGAAGGCGGUUCUCUGGGCCGGUACUGACGCUGAGGCGCGAAAGCGUGGGGAGCAAACAGG
rnacentral:rRNA from 1 species